ensembl:lncRNA
CUGGAUAUCUGAGGCCUGGAUCUCCUCCAUACCUGCUUCAUACCCUGGUGGACGGGGCUAUGGCUCCCCACACUCCCUAGCAGAUCGUUACAUGGAGAAACCUUUGGAAUACAAGCGUGCUGAUCCACACAGGUAUGCACACAGGUGUACACACGGGUAUUCACAGACGCGGACUACACCUUUCUUGGCUGCUGCCUCAAAGCACAUUGUGCGCUGUCUAUCUUGCGUGCUGCACAAUAUCGUUUAUUAUUUAGUAUCUACUGUUAUCUACUGCUAGCUAGUUUAUUGUGAUGGUGCUGUUUUUUUAUUAUGUUGCUCUUGUGUUGUUUGCUUUCUCUUCUGUUUUUUUUCUCCAUACAGGUGAUCCAGGUGCUUUGUUUGUUUUUUUGUUUUUGUUUUCUUUCUUUUUUUCUUUCUUUCUUCCCCCCCUUCUCACCGUCUCUUCUCCCCUUUGGUUUUCUUUCUCUCCCUCUCUUUCUUUCAUUCUUUCUCCCUGUCCUAUCCCCCAGUCAUGUCUGUCCCGUUUGUAGCAACUGAAAAUAAAAUAAAUUCAUAAUUAUAAUAAAGGUCAAUCAAAUGGACCAAUAUGGCAAGACCAUGAUGAUCCACUUGGUAAAAUAAAUCCGCUUGGCUUCUUUCUUGGCCUUAAGACAACAAUUCUGAUGGCUAAAGAUCCAAACUGGACACACAAAAAAAAGACUUAUGUCAAGUAUAAAUGUGUUUCAACAGGGUAUAUAACAAAAGCCUUUGUACUUGUUUUUACUGCACUACAAACUUAAAGUACAAUAUGUUAAAAACAAACAAACAAACAAAGAAAACCAAAUGAUUAUAUUCACAAUAAAGUACUAAUGCCUUAAAAGGAAAUACUGCCCAGAUAGUGAGGUACCAGAGACGUUUGGACUCUGUGAGUGCUCAGUGUUUGGCUUACUUUGAAAAGCAGUGUUGUGAGACUGGUCAGGUGUGUCUGAGUAAGGGCAGUUGAUUUGAGCACAACGACUCUCUCUCUCUCUC